rnacentral:rRNA from 1 species
UACAGAGGUCCCAAGCGUUUGUUCGGAUUCACUGGGCGUAAAGGGUGCGUAGGUGGCGAGGUGAGUUUGAUGUGAAAUCUCCGAGCUCAACUCGGAAACUGCAUUGAAUACUAUCUUGCUAGAGGGUUGGAGGGGAGACUGGAAUUCUCGGUGUAGCAGUGAAAUGCGUAGAUAUCGAGAGGAACACCAGUGGCGAAGGCGAGUCUCUAGACAACUCCUGACACUGAGGCACGAAAGCUAGGGGAGCAAACAGG